UACGGAGGAUCCAAGCGUUAUCCGGAUUCAUUGGGUUUAAAGGGUGCGUAGGCGGAAUAGUAAGUCAGUGGUGAAAGCCUACAGCUUAACUGUAGAAUUGCCAUUGAUACUGCUACUCUUGAGUGCAUUUGAAGUGGGCGGAAUGUGUCGUGUAGCGGUGAAAUGCUUAGAUAUGACACAGAACACCAAUUGCGAAGGCAGCUCACUAAACUGUAACUGACGCUGAGGCACGAAAGCGUGGGGAUCAAACAGG
rnacentral:rRNA from 1 species